UCCACCCCAUGCAUACAUCUGACAAAACGGA
rnacentral:piRNA from 1 species